CCUUCCUUCCUAGGACAUUCCAGCAAACAGAGCCAAAGACUGCCAUGGUGAGACUGGACAGGAUUUAAUACCAAAGAAGACAAGUGGAGGAAGAACAGAAGAGGAGAGUGUGUCUUUCUAAAGCCUGGUGGUCUUUUCCAUGGAAUUCAGGGAACAUUCUUCUGACAGACCAGCCCUAGAUAUGUUAUGGAAUAAGAAGGACACAUGUGUAAGCACUGAACACUGUGAUGGCUUUGGGAUGUGCUAAUUUGAUCCGCUGACUCACCUCAUUGGCAUGAAGCAGCAGCUGGCGCUGCUGCUGCUCCUUCCUGACUGCCUGCCCUGCGGACUGUGGGAUUAUGAAGCCUGCUCCUGCAACUGCACAAGCCCAACACAAUUCGGGAGAUGUGCUUGGAACUUCAAUCUGACAGUGCCUAUAGAAGGUGGUGGUACUGGGAAUCAACUGAGUGCCUGGGCAGUUGUUACUGAAGCUACUGUCACAUCCCAAAUGCUUAGAGGCAGAGGAGAUCCUGAGGUGCAGGCUGGUCAGUCACGUCCCCGAGCACGGGGAUGUGGCGAGUAAUCACACUGGAGCUCACGCUGCCAUCUUACCCUUUCUUCCUGCCCCCUUCCUCCACAACUCGCUGUGGCCCCCACUCUUCAGAUGGAGUUCUGUGUGGGGGCCCUACCACCCUCCUGCGCCCACCUACUCGACUGAUACUUUCUUUUCAAUAUAACCUUUCACCUCACUUUCUCCCAGAAACCCUCCCUGACCCCCAACCCCCCCCCCCCAAACUGCAUGGGAACCUCUCCUGAGCUUUCCACCGUCAUUUGUUUAUAUAUGUGUCUUUCCCCCAUUACACUGGGAGCUCCUUUAAAGACUAGUGUUUGCAUAUUCAUCUCUGCUCCCAGAACUAACACUGUUCAAAAGGACUCAGUAAAUGUUAACUUGACUGAU